GUAGUCAUAUGCUUGUCUCAAAGAUUAAGCCAUGCAUGUCUAAGUAUAAGCAAUUAUACCGCGAAACUGCGAAUGGCUCAUUAUAUAAGUUAUCGUUUAUUUGAUAGUACCUUACUACUUGGAUAACCGUGGUAAUUCUAGAGCUAAUACAUGCUAAAAAUCCCGACUUCGGAAGGGGUGUAUUUAUUAGAUUAAAAACCAAUGCCCUUCGGGGCUCACUGGUGAUUCAUGAUAACUCCUCGAAUCGCAUGGCCUUGUGCCGGCGAUGGUUCAUUCAAAUUUCUUCCCUAUCAACUUUCGAUGUUUGGGUAUUGGCCAAACAUGGUUGCAACGGGUAACGGGGAAU
rnacentral:rRNA from 1 species